rnacentral:rRNA from 1 species
UACGAAGGGAGCUAGCGUUGUCCGGAUUUAUUGGGCGUAAAGAGCGUGUAGGCGGCUUUACAGGUCCGUUGUGAAAACUCGAGGCUCAACCUCGAGACGCCGGUGGAAACCGUAAAGCUAGAGUCCGGAAGAGGAGAGUGGAAUUCCUGGUGUAGCGGUGAAAUGCGCAGAUAUCAGGAGGAACACCCGUGGCGAAAGCGGCUCUCUGGGACGGUACUGACGCUGAGACGCGAAAGCGUGGGGGAGCAAACAGG